rnacentral:rRNA from 1 species
CAAGUCGUGGGGCAGCAGGUCUGUAGCAAUACAGACGCUGGCGACCGGCAAAUGGGUGCGGAACACGCUACACAACCUUCCUUUAAGUGGGGAAUAGCCCAGAGAAAUUUGGAUUAAUACCCCGUGACAUUUUGAAGUGGCAUCACUUUAUAAUUAUAGCUACGGCGCUUAAUGAUGGGUGUGCGUCUGAUUAGGUAGUUGGCGGAGUAAUAGCCCACCAAGCCUACGAUCAGUAACUGGUGUGAGAGCACGACCAGUCACACGGGCACUGAGACACGGGCCCGACUCCUACGGGAGGCAGCAGUAAGGAAUAUUGGGCAAUGGACGCAAGUCUGACCCAGCCAUGCCGCGUGGAGGAUGAAGGUCCUCUGGAUUGUAAACUUCUUUUAUCUGGGAAGAAAUCCAUCUUUUCUUGGGUGGUUGACGGUACCAGAUGAAUAAGCACCGGCUAACUCCGUGCCAGCAGCCGCGGUAAUACGGAGGGUGCAAGCGUUAUCCGGAUUCACUGGGUUUAAAGGGUGCGUAGGUGGGCAGGUAAGUCAGUGGUGAAAUCCGGCAGC